CCUGAGACCAGAGUCUCAUCCUGACAUGAUCCAUUGUCUUGGUGUGCUAGAGCUCUCACAGAAUGAAAACUGAUCAUAUUCGCUGACUGGCCCUCUCUCCGCUCAGUCAGACACAGGCUCAGUGACAUGU